UACGGAGGGGGCUAGCGUUGUUCGGAAUUACUGGGCGUAAAGCGCACGUAGGCGGCUUUGUAAGUUAGAGGUGAAAGCCCGGGGCUCAACUCCGGAAUUGCCUUUAAGACUGCAUCGCUAGAAUUGUGGAGAGGUAAGUGGAAUUCCGAGUGUAGAGGUGAAAUUCGUAGAUAUCGGAAAGGAACAUCAGUGGCGAAAGCGACUUCCUGGACCAAUACUG
rnacentral:rRNA from 1 species